CUGCUGACCUCUUCUAUGAAAAAGUUUAAUACAAUAUUUCAAAGUCUUUGCCAGUUCUUCAGUCUUGUGUUUGAACCGAGACACUAAUGAAUCUUUGGAUACGUGGGUGCUGGAGAUGCAGAAACAAGAAGGGCUAACUACUGUGCAUGAUUAAGUGAAGGGGAUCAUUUGAAGGGGAAAAUCUGAAAAUUAGAAACUUAGCCCUUCAUUAAGGUCUGCAACACAGGCAAAUCCCUUGUGUGACUGAUGAUUUAGGGCUUUUCAGUCAAAUUCUAUUAGCCUUGUAAAAAUGUGAAAAUUCUUUUCAGUAUCUGGUAAUAGUUUUUGUUAUUAUUAGUGCUGUAACUUAGAUGUCAGCUAAAUUAACCUAAUAUUUGAGGUUGAAAUAAUAACUUAUCCAAAAUCAAAUUUGUGGGGUAUAGAAUUCCUAAAUUAUUGUUGACUCUCUCUUGAGGUUCAAAGUGGCAUUAGGGAACAGGGUUCUUCCAUUUCAGGAGAAUCAUCCACAUUGUCAUAAGAAAGAUGUUUACUGUAAUAUAAAUGGGCAUUUCUUUUACAACAUGCAUUCUCAACACAGGUGAUAGGAUCCACAAGAGGAUGACAAUUUGCACAUGGGGGAAGGAAACACAAAUUUUACUUUUAUGUGUAGCGCAGAUUACAUACAUUACAUAAAACGACAUACGAUAUAUAUGUAGUAUUAAAAUUUCAUGGGAAAAUGAUCAGAAAAAAAUCUAAAAAGGCUCCUUAAGGCUCCUUACUGUUUUACAUUUACAUAAACUAGGGUGUGUAUAGUGUCUCAUGAUGUUGUGCAACAUGGUGGCCCUGGGUGGGACAGGGGAUCUGUAAGUUUCCAGCUUCCCUUGAAUUGGAUAAUGUUAUACAUCACCUCAUGAUGGCAUGUCUGUUUCCUUCAGUGCCACCUAGAGAAUGUACUAUUUUCUUUAUUCCUGGUAGCUGUUGGCUAAUUCUCAGACUUCAUCUGCUGUCACUCUCUCUUGCUCUCAUUCUGUUGUAGUCACACCUGUCCCGGCAUGGGAUCCUCUCAGGUUGCUCCGGAGAAGAAACUCGGGAGUGGAAACUGCCGCAGGAACCAGUGCUGGGGUAGGAAAACCUGAACUGUAAUUGGCAAAUUCCUGGGGAAGAGAAAUGCCCAAUUCCACCCAACUCAGCUAUCCUGUCCCACCUAAAUGGGAAGGAACUGAACGGCACUUGUGGAGAUCACAGUCCAGAGGCAUAGGCUUGCUAAAAAUAAAAGACUGAGACCUAAUGAUAGGGCCAGAGAACGCCUCCUCUUCCCCCACACCUUAUCACUGCAUUACUAAGGCUCAUUUACAACCAUUCAUUUUACUCAAUACAUUAUGUCCAGCUAUCAAGAGAAAAAAAAAGGCAUACUAAAGGCAAAAAAUAAAAUGUGAAGAGGCAGAGCAAGCCUUAGAACUAAACAUCAUAGAAAUGUUGGAAUGAUCACAUUAGAGUAGGUAGUUAGGCACACAUGAGCAGAGCAGGAAAGGCCCCCACCCAGGAAUGUCAGGUGACCCUCAGGUGAUCAUCAGGUUGUUUUUUAACCAUCUCUCUAAAAUAAGAAUUGGUAACAGCCAGUGCCCAGGAAAGGUAGUCUCUCAAAAGAUAGAAAACAUCUGAAGCUAGUGAUCAGCAGCUUCCCAAUAAGAUCUCAGGAGUUGGGUGAGUGGGCUUAAGCGUGCACACUAAGAGGCAAAAUAGUGGCAUUUAACUGGUAUGUGACCUUCCUCUAGGAAGGCUCGACUGGUAAGGGAAAAAGGCCUCAAGUGAGCAUGGACACAACUGCAGUAAAUACACUGUGCAUGCGGCCCCUCCCAAGUGCUGGCAGGCCACUGUGCAUGCA
rnacentral:lncRNA from 10 species